rnacentral:other from 1 species
UGUCUUCUGGGAUGUUUGUAUGUGAACUGUGUCCCUGAGCCGAUAAGUUUUACCUUAGGGAAUUGACUAUUAACUAUUGUGCAGGCCCGGCAUGUAUCGGGAAGCCUACGGUUAGCAUGAUAUUUCCGCCCUGAACACACGGUGUUCAGGACUAUUGUGAGCUGCGGCAUCUUGGAAGACAA